UACAGAGGUCUCAAGCGUUGUUCGGAUUCAUUGGGCGUAAAGGGUGCGUAGGCGGCGCGGUAAGUCGGAUGUGAAAUCUCGGAGCUUAACUUCGAAACUGCAUUCGAUACUGCCGUGCUUGAGGACUGGAGAGGAGACUGGAAUUUACGGUGUAGCGGUGAAAUGCGUAGAUAUCGUAAGGAAGACCAGUGGCGAAGGCGGGUCUCUGGACAGUUCCUGACGCUGAGGCACGAAGGUCAGGGGGAGCAAAACGGG
rnacentral:rRNA from 1 species